UACGGGGGGAGCAAGCGUUGUUCGGAUUUACUGGGCGUAAAGGGCGCGUAGGCGGUCGUGACAAGUCACUUGUGAAAUCUCCGGGCUUAACUCGGAACGGUCAAGUGAUACUGUCGGACUAGAGUACAGAAGGGGCAACUGGAAUUCUCGGUGUAGCGGUGAAAUGCGUAGAUAUCUAGAGGAACACCUGCGGCGAAGGCGGGUUGCUGGGCCGACACUGACGCUGAUGCGCGAAAGCCAGGGGAGCGAACGGG
rnacentral:rRNA from 1 species